AGCAGCCGCGGUAAUUCCAGCUCCAAUAGCGUAUAUUAAAGUUGUUGCAGUUAAAAAGCUCGUAGUUGAAUUUCGGGAUCAGAUUGUCGGUCGUGCCUCGGUACGCACUGGCAUUAUUGGUUCCUACCUUCUGAAGAACCGCGAUGUCAUUAAUUUGGUGUCGUGGGGAAUCAGGACUGUUACUUUGAAAAAUUAGAGUGUUUAAAGCAGGCGCACGCUUGAAUACAUUAGCAUGGAAUAAUGAAAUAGGACGUUUGAUUCUAUUUUGUUGGUUUCUAGGAUCGACGUAAUGAUUAAUAGGGAUAGUUGGGGGCAUCAGUAUUCAAUUGUCAGAGGUGAAAUUCUUGGAUUUAUUGAAGACUAACUACUGCGAAAGCAUUUGCCAAGGAUGUUUUCAUUAAUCAAGAACGAAAGUUAGGGGAUCGAAGACGAUCAGAUACCGUCGUAGUCUUAACCAU
rnacentral:rRNA from 1 species